GCAUAUCAAUAAGCGGAGGAAAAGAAAAUAACAAUGAUUCCCCUAGUAACUGCGAGUGAAGAGGGACAAGCUCAAAUUUUAAAUCUGUCGGGUUUUACCUGACCGAGUUGUAAUUUGAAGAAGCGUUUUCUGCGUAUUUGGUCAGCCUAAGUCCUAUUGAAUGAGGCAUCAUGGAGGGUGAUAAUCCCGUCCGGUUGAUCAUUGCGUUUUACGAUACGCUUUCUAAGAGUCAAGUUGUUUGGGAUUGCAGCUUAAAAUGGGAGGUAAAUUUCUCCUAAGGCUAAAUAACGGCGAGAGACCGAUAGCGAACAAGUACCGUGAGGGAAAGAUGAAAAGAACUUUGAAAAGAGAGUUAAACAGUACGUGAAAUUGUUGAAAGGGAAACGAUUGAAGCCAGUCGUACCUGUGGGUAAUCAGCCUUUUGGGUGUGAUUUUGUGGAGUGUGAGGAGUUAAACGCCUUCAUGCCUGCAUAUUCGUGCACUUUGGGUGUAUUUACCCGUGUGGUAAGUUAACAUCAAUUUCGGUGGUCAUAAAAUGGCUGGAGGAAUGUAGCUUCGAUCUUGUAUUGAAGUGUUAUAGCCUUCGGUAGAUGUGAUGAUCGGGAUUGAGGAUUGCAACGGAUACCCUUCGGGGCUACCUGUCUGAUCUCUGAUCGUUGCUCUGGUGCCGAAAGCUUGCUUACGGAUAUCAAAGUUGAUGGUCAAUAGGUUAGAACGGGUUAAAUUCGUUAAGGAUGUUGACGUAAUGGCUUUAAACGAC
rnacentral:rRNA from 1 species